ACCUGGGUGGCUCAGUAGGUUGAGCAUCUGACUUGUGGCUCAGGUCAUGGUCUCAUGGUUUGUGGGUUCGAGCCCCACCUCAGACU
rnacentral:tRNA from 1 species